rnacentral:rRNA from 1 species
AUCACCUUGGGGUUGAGGGACCUUCACAACUAGUAGCGAAUGCUAGUUGAACGGCUUGGAAAAGCCGGCCAAAGACCGUGACAGCCGGGUAAGCAAACCAGACGCUCCUCAGAGGGGUAUCCCAAGUAGUGCGGUGCACGUGAAAACUCCGCGCGAAUCCGUCCAGACCACUGGAUAAGGCUAAAUACUCAUCAGCGACCGAUAGUGAACUAGUACCGCGAGGGAAAGGCGAAAAGAACCCCGGUUAGGGGAGUGAAAUAGAACCUGCAACCCGCUGCCUACAAUGUGUGGGAGCCCGAAAGGGUGACCGCCUGCCUUUUGCAUAAUGAGUCUGCGAGUUAUUAUCUGUGGCCAGCAUCAAUCUCCAUGAGGUGGAUGCGAAGCGAAAGCGAGUACGAAAUGUGCGCCCAGUCGCAGGUAAUAGACCCGAAGCGGAGGUGAUCUACUCUUGAGCAGGUUGAAACCAAGGU